CGAGUGCCCCAAGCGUUAUCCGGAAUUAUUGGGCGUAAAGGGUGUGUAGGCGGUCUUGUUAGUCUUAUGUUAAAGCUCUCGGCUUAACCGGGAAAAUGCAUGAGAUACGGCAAGACUAGAGGAUGCGAGAGGUAUGCGGAACUCAUAGUGUAGGGGUAAAAUCCGUUGAUAUUAUGGGGAACACCAAAAGCGAAGGCAGCAUACUGGCGCACUCCUGACGCUGAGACACGAAAGCGUGGGUAGCGAAUGGGAUUAGAUACCCCAGUAGUCCACGCCCUAAACGAUGUACAUUUGCUUUUCGGAGUAUCGACCCUCUGAGAGGCGUAGCUAACGCGUUAAAUGUACCGCCUGGGUAGUACGACCGCAAGGUUA
rnacentral:rRNA from 1 species